rnacentral:rRNA from 1 species
AGGCUUAACACAUGCAAGUCGAGGGGCAGCAUGCUCUUAGCUUGCUAAGGUCGAUGGCGACCGGCGCACGGGUGAGUAACGCGUAUCCAACCUGCCUUACACUCUUGGACAGCCUUCUGAAAGGGAGAUUAAUACAAGAUGUUAUCAUGAGUAAGCAUUUUCGCAUGAUUAAAGGUUUACCGGUGUAAGAUGGGGAUGCGUUCCAUUAGAUAGUAGGCGGGGUAACGGCCCACCUAGUCUUCGAUGGAUAGGGGUUCUGAGAGGAAGGUCCCCCACAUUGGAACUGAGACACGGUCCAAACUCCUACGGGAGGCAGCAGUGAGGAAUAUUGGUCAAUGGACGAGAGUCUGAACCAGCCAAGUAGCGUGAAGGAUGAAGGUUCUAUGGAUUGUAAACUUCUUUUAUACGGGAAUAAACGAAUCCACGUGUGGAUUUUUGCAUGUACCGUAUGAAUAAGGAUCGGCUAACUCCGUGCCAGCAGCCGCGGUAAUACGGAGGAUCCGAGCGUUAUCCGGAUUUAUUGGGUUUAAAGGGAGCGUAGAUGGGUUGUUAAGUCAGUUGUGAAAGUUUGCGGCUCAACCGUAAAAUUGCAAUUGAUACUGGCAGUCUUGAGUACAGUUGAGGUAGGCGGAAUUCGUGGUGUAGCGGUGAAAUGCUUAGAUAUCACGAAGAACUCCGAUUGCGAAGGCAGCUUACUAACCUGUAACUGACAUUGAUGCUCGAAAGUAUGGGUAUCAAACAGGAUUAGAUACCCUGGUAGUCCACACGGUAAACGAUGAAUACUCGCUGUAGGCGAUAUACAGUCUGCGGCCAAGCGAAAGCAUUAAGUAUUCCACCUGGGGAGUACGCCGGCAACGGUGAAACUCAAAGGAAUUGACGGGGGCCCGCACAAGCGGAGGAACAUGUGGUUUAAUUCGAUGAUACGCGAGGAACCUUACCCGGGCUUAAAUUGCAACCGAAUAUGGCGGAAACGCUAUAGCUAGCAAUAGCGGUUGUGAAGGUGCUGCAUGGUUGUCGUCAGCUCGUGCCGUGAGGUGUCGGCUUAAGUGCCAUAACGAGCGCAACCCUUGCCGAUAGUUACUAACAGGUUAUGCUGAGGACUCUGUCGGGACUGCCAUCGUAAGAUGUGAGGAAGGUGGGGAUGACGUCAAAUCAGCACGGCCCUUACGUCCGGGGCUACACACGUGUUACAAUGGGGGGUACAGAGGGCUGCUACCACGCAAGUGGAUGCCAAUCCCAAAAACCUCUCUCAGUUCGGAUUGAAGUCUGCAACCCGACUUCAUGAAGCUGGAUUCGCUAGUAAUCGCGCAUCAGCCACGGCGCGGUGAAUACGUUCCCGGGCCUUGUACACACCGCCCGUCAAGCCAUGGGAGCCGGGGGUACCUGAAGUGCGUAACCGCAAGGAGCGCCCUAGGGUAAAACUGGUGACUGGGGCUAAGUCAUAACA